AACAUCGCGCACCUGCGGGAACCUGCGGAGGGAUCAUUACAGAGUUGCAAAACUCCCUAAACCAUUGUGAACGUUACCUAAACCGUUGCUUCGGCGGGCGGCCCGGGUCCCUCCCGGCGCCCAUCGGCCCUCGCGGGCGCCCGCCGGAGGUAAACCAAACUAUUGCAUUGUAUGGCCUCUCUGAGUCUUCUGUACUGAAUAAGUCAAAACUUUUAGCAACGGAUCUCAGAUCGGAAGAGC
rnacentral:misc_RNA from 1 species